GAGGAAGGAGACGGUUUUGCGAGCGAAGCGGCUCUCCAUGCUGUUGGCGCGCCGCCGCGGACUGCUGGACGGGGUGACGGUACCGGAGUAUAGAAGCUUGUGGAAGACCCUGGACAGUUUAGGAGAAGUUCACGGAACUUUUUGCAUCUCAAUGAAAUGUACUGAGAAAGCUAUCUUGGCGAAUACAUGCACGCUAUCUGAGGACUUCCAAGGCAAUCAACCCAGGAGAAGACGAACUCUUGGCGAUUGCUCAGUCUCGGCAAUUAUAAAAACGGAGAUUGCUUUUGCAGAUAAUGGCGUAUAGUUCUAUUACUGGUGGCCUCCGCAGUUGGAAUUGGUAGGACAUCAACCAGCAGUGGUAAUCAGACAUAAAUGCGUCUUUUGGUCCCAUGCGUCCAGGUGCUUAAUGUCAAGAUCCAGAAGCAAUCCUAGCUGCCGUAGGCGUGUUGUCAGAGCCCAU